rnacentral:sRNA from 1 species
AGGAGUNUAGUCGUAACAGGUUUCCGUAGGUGUACCUGCGGAAGGAUCAUUAUUGAUUGUGAAUCGUUGCCUCCUGUGCUGGCUUCUGCAAGUGCACGGUGGUGACUUUUUCAUCCACUCCCCUGUGAGCCUUUGGCCUCUUGCUGGCUUUGGUCGGCAGAGGAUUUUUACACAAACUUGAAUGUAAUGAGAAAUACUGUUGUGCGCAAGCACUAAUGUACAACUUUCAACAACGGAUCUCUUGGCUCUCGCAUCGAUGAAGAACGCAGCGAAAUGCGAUAAGUAAUGUGAAUWGCAGAAUUCAGUGAAUCAUCGAAUCUUUGAACGCACCUUGCCACCCUUUGGCAUUCCGAAGGGUAUGCUCGUUUGAGUGUCAUUGUACUCUCACACUCUCAAUCCUUUUGGGUUGGGAGUGGUGGACUUGGGCAUUGCUGCUUUACUGCAGCUUGCCUCAAAUGUGUUAGUGCMACUCCAGGUUGGACAUAGUACGGCGUGCAUAACAUGUCUUCGCCGGCACCUCSCAAGAGGGUGACUGAUCAGGAGCUCUGUGCUUCAAACCGUCUUCGGACAAUCAUCUGACCACUGACCUCAAAUCGAGUAGGACUACCCGCUGAACUUAAGCAUAUCAAUAAGCGGAGG